GCAAAUCUCUUAAAGCCGUUCUCAGUUCGGAUUGUAGGCUGCAACUCGCCUACAUGAAGUCGGAAUCGCUAGUAAUCGCGGAUCAGCAUGCCGCGGUGAAUACGUUCCCGGGCCUUGUACACACCGCCCGUCACACCAUGAGAGUUUGUAACACCCAAAGCCGGUGGGGUAACCUUUUGGAGCCAGCCGUCUAAGGUGGGACAGAUGAUUGGGGUGAAGUCGUAACAAGGUAAC
rnacentral:rRNA from 1 species